CACACAAUGCAUAUAUUAUAGUAAUACUUCAUAUUUGGUCUCAACGUUGUCAUAAGAUAUAUCAUCGUUCAUGGAUCACUAAGGUAUUUUCUUUAGGUUGUAAUGUGGUUGGGCUUACAAAAAAAUAUUGGUUUUUGUUUGAAUUCAAAAGUCUAAAGAUAAGAGAGUAUACGAUAUUUAUUUUUCACGUAUUUCUCCUUCUUUAUUUUCAUGUUUUUACAACCAUUUUGUUUUGGUGCCUUUUUU
rnacentral:lncRNA from 1 species